GGGUUGUGAGGUUAAGCGACUAAGCGUACACGGUGGAUGCCCUGGCAGUCAGAGGCGAUGAAGGACGUGCUAAUCUGCGAUAAGCGUCGGUGAGGUGAUAUGAACCGUUAUAACCGGCGAUUUCCGAAUGGGGAAACCCAGUGUGUUUCGACACACUAUCAUUAACUGAAUCCAUAGGUUAAUGAGGCGAACCGGGGGAACUGAAACAUCUAAGUACCCCGAGGAAAAGAAAUCAACCGGGCGAAAAGAACCCCGGCGAGGGGAGUGAAAAAGAACCUGAAACCGUGUACGUACAAGCAGUGGGAGCCUCUUAAUGGGGUGACUGCGUACCUUUUGUAUAAUGGGUCAGCGACUUAUAUUCUGUAGCAAGGUUAACCGAAUAGGGGAGCCGAAGGGAAACCGAGUCUUAACUGGGCGUUAAGUUGCAGGGUAUAGACCCGAAACCCGGUGAUCUAGCCAUGGGCAGGUUGAAGGUUGGGUAACACUAACUGGAGGACCGAACCGACUAAUGUUGAAAAAUUAGCGGAUGACUUGUGGCUGGGGGUGAAAGGCCAAUCAAACCGGGAGAUAGCUGGUUCUCCCCGAAAGCUAUUUAGGUAGCGCCUCGUGAAUUCAUCUCCGGGGGUAGAGCACUGUUUCGGCAAGGGGGUCAUCCCGACUUACCAACCCGAUGCAAACUGCGAAUACCGGAGAAUGUUAUCACGGGAGACACACGGCGGGUGCUAACGUCCGUCGUGAAGAGGGAAACAACCCAGACCGCCAGCUAAGGUCCCAAAGUCAUGGUUAAGUGGGAAACGAUGUGGGAAGGCCCAGACAGCCAGGAUGUUGGCUUAGAAGCAGCCAUCAUUUAAAGAAAGCGUAAUAGCUCACUGGUCGAGUCGGCCUGCGCGGAAGAUGUAACGGGGCUAAACCAUGCACCGAAGCUGCGGCAGCGACACUAUGUGUUGUUGGGUAGGGGAGCGUUCUGUAAGCCUGUGAAGGUGUACUGUGAGGUAUGCUGGAGGUAUCAGAAGUGCGAAUGCUGACAUAAGUAACGAUAAAGCGGGUGAAAAGCCCGCUCGCCGGAAGACCAAGGGUUCCUGUCCAACGUUAAUCGGGGCAGGGUGAGUCGACCCCUAAGGCGAGGCCGAAAGGCGUAGUCGAUGGGAAACAGGUUAAUAUUCCUGUACUUGGUGUUACUGCGAAGGGGGGACGGAGAAGGCUAUGUUGGCCGGGCGACGGUUGUCCCGGUUUAAGCGUGUAGGCUGGUUUUCCAGGCAAAUCCGGAAAAUCAAGGCUGAGGCGUGAUGACGAGGCACUACGGUGCUGAAGCGACAAAUGCCCUGCUUCCAGGAAAAGCCUCUAAGCAUCAGGUAACAUCAAAUCGUACCCCAAACCGACACAGGUGGUCAGGUAGAGAAUACCAAGGCGCUUGAGAGAACUCGGGUGAAGGAACUAGGCAAAAUGGUGCCGUAACUUCGGGAGAAGGCACGCUGAUAUGUAGGUGAAGCGACUUGCUCGUGGAGCUGAAAUCAGUCGAAGAUACCAGCUGGCUGCAACUGUUUAUUAAAAACACAGCACUGUGCAAACACGAAAGUGGACGUAUACGGUGUGACGCCUGCCCGGUGCCGGAAGGUUAAUUGAUGGGGUUAGCGGUAACGCGAAGCUCUUGAUCGAAGCCCCGGUAAACGGCGGCCGUAACUAUAACGGUCCUAAGGUAGCGAAAUUCCUUGUCGGGUAAGUUCCGACCUGCACGAAUGGCGUAAUGAUGGCCAGGCUGUCUCCACCCGAGACUCAGUGAAAUUGAACUCGCUGUGAAGAUGCAGUGUACCCGCGGCAAGACGGAAAGACCCCGUGAACCUUUACUAUAGCUUGACACUGAACAUUGAGCCUUGAUGUGUAGGAUAGGUGGGAGGCUUUGAAGUGUGGACGCCAGUCUGCAUGGAGCCGACCUUGAAAUACCACCCUUUAAUGUUUGAUGUUCUAACGUGGGCCCCUUACCGGGGUUGCGGACAGUGUCUGGUGGGUAGUUUGACUGGGGCGGUCUCCUCCUAAAGAGUAACGGAGGAGCACGAAGGUUGGCUAAUCCUGGUCGGACAUCAGGAGGUUAGUGCAAUGGCAUAAGCCAGCUUGACUGCGAGCGUGACGGCGCGAGCAGGUGCGAAAGCAGGUCAUAGUGAUCCGGUGGUUCUGAAUGGAAGGGCCAUCGCUCAACGGAUAAAAGGUACUCCGGGGAUAACAGGCUGAUACCGCCCAAGAGUUCAUAUCGACGGCGGUGUUUGGCACCUCGAUGUCGGCUCAUCACAUCCUGGGGCUGAAGUAGGUCCCAAGGGUAUGGCUGUUCGCCAUUUAAAGUGGUACGCGAGCUGGGUUUAGAACGUCGUGAGACAGUUCGGUCCCUAUCUGCCGUGGGCGCUGGAGAACUGAGGGGGGCUGCUCCUAGUACGAGAGGACCGGAGUGGACGCAUCACUGGUGUUCGGGUUGUCAUGCCAAUGGCACUGCCCGGUAGCUAAAUGCGGAAGAGAUAAGUGCUGAAAGCAUCUAAGCACGAAACUUGCCCCGAGAUGAGUUCUCCCUGACUCCUUGAGAGUCCUGAAGGAACGUUGAAGACGACGACGUUGAUAGGCCGGGUGUGUAAGCGCAGCGAUGCGUUGAGCUAACCGGUACUAAUGAACCGUGAGGCUUAACCUUACAACGCCGAAG
rnacentral:rRNA from 1 species